UGUGCCUUGUCUCGACGGUGGCGCUGGUGAACGCCGGCGAUCCUUACUUCUACUACACGUGGAACGUGACGUACGGAACCGCCUCGCCUCUCGGAAUCCCUCAACAGGUGAUUCUCAUCAACGGACAGUUCCCUGGUCCUAACCUAAACUCUACAUCUAACAACAAUGUCGUCAUCAAUGUCUUUAACAACCUUGACGAGCCUUUCCUCUUGACCUGGUUAGUAACCAUUUCCUCUCGUUUCUUGUUUACUAAUUACGCGUUUUUGCAUGAGCAUAUUGUUUUGAAGAUCAAAUAAUAUUUUGAACGAUACAAAACAUUUUUUUUUCAUUUUAAUACACUUUCUUACAAAGGUCAUACGCCAAAUGCAAAAAUAACUUCUCAAAUCGUUUGAUGUUUUCAUUUUACAAUUUACAAAUCAAUAUUUUUUCCACAUAUUUAAGAUUGGACAUUCAUUUGAAAAUAGAAAAUAUGUCUUGGUUAAGUUAUGUUAUUUUGUUUCUUGGUUUUUAGUUUGAAAAAUUCAUAACUAAAUUUAAAUCAAAAUCUUUUUGGAUCAUUCAAUUAAUUGGUUUAAGAAAAGUUUGUUUAAUUUCCGUUCAGAUAGUAGUUUCUUUAACAACAAGUGUUAUAUUAAUUUCACAUAAUGAUAUCUAUAUAUAAUAUGUAUACAAAUAAAAUGUAAUAUUUUAGUUUGGUUUAGUUUAGUUUUGAUUUUAGAUUUGUUUUGCAUUAGGUUUGGUUAUAUGGCUACAACUAUACAUGUCUAGUUUUCAUUGUAACUUUGGAUAUUGAGUCCUGACUAACUAUGGGUUCGGUGACAUGGCAGGAGUGGUCUCCAGCACAGGAAGAACUCAUGGCAAGAUGGUGUGACUGGGACCUCAUGCCCAAUCCCAGCAGGCACCAACUACACUUACCACUUCCAGCCAAAGGACCAGAUCGGUAGUUACUUCUACUACCCAUCCACCGCUCUCCACCGUUUCUCCGGUGGUUUCGGUGGCCUCCGUGUCAACAGCCGUCUCCUCAUCCCCGUCCCUUACGCUGACCCCGAAGACGACUACACCGUCCUCAUCAACGACUGGUACACCAAGAGCCACACCGCUCUCAAGACCUUCCUCGACAGUGGCCGUACUCUUGGCUCCCCUGACGGCGUUCUCAUCAACGGUAAGUCCGGCAAAGUCGGAGGACAGGACAAGCCACUCUUCACCAUGAAGCCAGGAAAGACAUACAAGUACAGAAUCUGUAACGUUGGAUUCAAGUCCACUCUUAACUUCAGGAUCCAAGGACACAAGAUGAAGCUUGUUGAGAUGGAAGGCUCCCACGUUCUCCAAAACGACUACGACUCACUAGACGUCCACGUCGGACAGUGCUUUGCUGUUCUUGUCACCGCUGACCAAGCGGCUAAGAACUACUACAUGGUUGCAUCCACUAGGUUCCUCAAGAAGGAAGUGAGCACUGUUGGUGUGAUGAGCUACGACAACGGAGUUUCGGGCUCUGUGUGGGAGACUCCGUUCAAUGCGUACCUAAGCUUACCAUCGAUUUUUCCCUGAGUGUUCACGAGCUUGAUUGUGCGUGUGAUGUUGAUCUUUCCAUAGUGGUAGGAUCCCUGAGGGUUAGGCCUAGCUGCACUUGCGGUCAAGUUCCACCUGAAUGAUCGGAACUGGUUCAACGACCAAGCCCAUCCAACAGGACCAGCUGGAAGCUGUGAAGAGGCGGGUCCUUUGCCUCCUUCGUAGCGGAGAAGUCCCGUUGUUGUAAUAACCUUCUUCAAGAACCUAGUGGAUGCAACCAUGUAGUAAUCUUUAGGUUCUUGAUUAGCGGCAACGAUGGUACCAUAGCACUGACCAACGUGAACGUCCAAAGAGUCGUAAUCGUUUUGAAGAACGUGAGAUCCUUCCAUUUCAACGAGCUUCAUUUUGUGAUUCUGAAUCCUAAAGUUGAGGGAUGUCUUGAUACCCACGUUACAGAUCCUAACCCUGUAAGUCUUUCCAGGUUUCAAGGUGAAGAGAGGUGCAUCGGAUCCAUCGCCUUUCCCGGACUUUCCGUUGAUGACAAUACCGUCUGGACGACCAAUAGUACGACCACCGUCGAGGAAUUUCUUUAACUGAGUGUGGCUCUUAGUGAACCAGUCACCGAUGAGGACGGUGUAGUCAUCUUCUGGAUCAGCAUAAGGGACUGGGAUGAGGAGACGGCUGUUGACACGGAGACCACCGUAUCCACCAGCAGCACGGUGCAUACCAGUGGUCGGGUAAUAGAAAUAGCUUCCGAUCUGAUCCUUAGGCUGGAAAUGGUAUGUGUAGUUGGUGCCGGGCAUGAUUGGACACAUGGUCCCUUGUGUCCCAUCUUGCCAACAGUUCUUCCUGUGUUGGAUACCAUUCCUAAAAUAGGCAAGAUACAUAUUAUUAAAAAAUCAGUGUUCUAAAAAUCGGUUUAGCGCCAUAUAACAAAACAAUAAAUUUUCUAAGGAUCAGAUCAGUUUAAAAAAUCGGUUUAAAUGUCCGGCACUAAUUCUGUAUAGAACAUUUAAUGAUCGUCUAUUGAUUUUCUUAACAUUGAUUAAAACACAUGCAUAUAAAUCGAGAAAUGCUGUUUGUAGAUAUUAUUUUGGUUAAAUUAAUGAUUAUUACCAAGUGAGGAGGAAGGGUUCGUCUAGGUUAUUGAAGACAUUGAUGAUGACAUUGUUGUUGGAGGUAGAGUUGAUGUUAGGACCAGGGAACUGGCCGUUGAUUAGAAUGACUUGUUGUGGAACGCCUAGAGGAGAGGCGGUUCCAUAGGUCACGUUCCAUACAUGGUGGAAGUAAGGGUCUUCUGCUUGGACCACCACCGUUGCAGCUGCGGCCAGGUAGAGACACGCGGCUAAGAGUUUAACCCCUCGCAUAUACAAUUUUUAUGUUUUUUCGUGGAGGGUAUUAAUUGAUUAUUGUUAUUGGAUUAUGUUUUGAGGUUUGAAUUUCGAGUUGUGGAAAUGUUUGAGAGCAUUUUUAUAGGGAUUGUAAGACGAAUGUUUUCUCCUGCUUUUUCUGGUCUUGUUUGGGUCUCCUCUCAUUUCGCUAUUUUUUUGUCCAUAUUUGGGAUAUUGAAGGUCAACCACUCCCUAUUUUUGGUGUUUAAUUUUUUUUUCUAUGUUUGGCUUUGGUUUCCAUGUCUUUGAAACUUUUUUCUGUUUUGGAUAUUUUUGAAAAAUUAUGAGAGAGCCAAACUUUAGUCAUAUGAUGAAACUUAAAAGUUAUAGAGAUAUACAAGUCAUUCUAAUCAACAGCCAAUUCCCUGUUCCAAGACCUCCAAUAACAGUAUCAUAGUUGUAUAAAACAAAAAGCAAUUAGCUAGAGAUAUCUUAUAUUACAUGCAAGUUGAUGAGUAGUCUGAAUAAAAGUUGACACAUACUAAAAUGAUAAAUAGAAACAAGUAUACACUUGAAAUUUCAAUUGAGGACAAUAAUAGCUAAAGAGGAAAUAACAGGAUCUAGACUAGCAGAUCCGUAGAGAUCUCUAGUUAGAUUGACCACGUUCACCAUAACUUGCAUGACCACGGUUUUAUAGACCACUCUAGGAUCAGUAGAGAUCUUUAUUUAGUUUUUUUUUUUUAUGUUGCACCAUCAUCAGUUCAUAUACUGAUCAUUUUACUCUCACAAAAGAUAACGGCUGAUCCAAGCCAGGAAGUGAAUGGGCAGCAUCCAAGUGGACUGUAAAUCCCGUCAAAUUCAUAUCUGAUACUAUUCAGAGGGUGCAAUGUGUAAAAAGAAUAAGCACUUAAAACCAACAUAAAUUCAGCGAUAAAUUACAUAUAUCACUUUGUAUAUAUCUAUUUUCAUCUAAACUUAGCGCAUAUAGCUCGUGUUGGAGUUAUUGACAUUUCUCAUAUAAACAAUUUUCUACUUAUGAAUCAUGUAUAAGUGGUCUCUAGUAAUCCAAAAUGUUGGGUUUGACAUUUAGACCGACUCACAUCUCAAGAGGGCUUAUUAAGUGUGACAUUUUUUUGGAAAAAAAAGAUUUGGAUAAUAUAUAUAUAUAUAUAAAUAAGUAAUGUGACAAAUCUUUUAUUUUUGAGUUAGAUUUUGAUGUGAUAAUCCGAAAUGAUGGGUUUUUACAUGUUUCCAUUAGACAGUUUCAACUCGCAUCUCAAGACUCAAGAGGGCCUAUUAAUGUCUUACAUUGUUUGGAUAAAGAAGAUUUGGAUAAAGUAAUGUGACAAUCUUUUAUUUUUGAGUUAGAUUUUGGAUGUGAAUUAGACCAAUUAUUAGUAGGAAUGAAGAGACAUGUCUAUGUGUUACACCAAAAAAAAAGAUAAGAAAAAGAAGAAACAUGUCUCUACGCAAUGUUCCUAGAAUACUAGCUUUUGUUUUUUGAAAUAUAUGUAUCAAGAAUAAAAAUGCGAGUCCUUAAUCUUAAACUUACAAACUGUAGUAACUUAUGUAGUUUUGUUAGGAGACCAAAACAUUUUUCCGUGUGUAUACAGUAGCUAAAGCAUGUUAAAACAAACAAAUAACUUCAUGACACACUUUGUGAGUUAGUUAAUUUAGCAUCGUUUGAGAAUAUUUCCAUUAUUAGAAUAUGACCCGAGUUGUGUGUUUGUUCAAAACGUUGAAACCCAUGAGAACCAAAGAAAGUGAUUCAAAAAUAGAACUUACACAUAUAGUAAAAAUAACAAAAAAGGAACAAAGAAUUAGAGAUGAAGCGUAAGAUUAGGCAGCGAUUCCGUGCAAACCAAGGUACUUUCACCUGCAUAAAUAGUUAAUCACGACACCAUCCAAAAAAACUCGUCAAGAGCAAGAGAACAUAGUCUCUUCUUGCUUUUGAGAAAAAAAUAAUUUUUAUGUAGGAAAGGGUUAAUUUAUCAAUAAAAAUAUAUAAAAAGAAGUAGAAAAGAGAUAAUGCAGGGUGGUAAGCUUUUGACGGUGUUUGUGUGCCUUGUCUCGACGGUGGCGCUGGUGAACGCCGGCGAUCCUUACUUCUACUACACGUGGAACGUGACGUACGGAACCGCCUCGCCUCUCGGAAUCCCUCAACAGGUGAUUCUCAUCAACGGACAGUUCCCUGGUCCUAACCUAAACUCUACAUCUAACAACAAUGUCGUCAUCAAUGUCUUUAACAACCUUGACGAGCCUUUCCUCUUGACCUGGUUAGUAACCAUUUCCUCUCGUUUCUUGUUUACUAAUUACGCGUUUUUGCAUGAGCAUAUUGUUUUGAAGAUCAAAUAAUAUUUUGAACGAUACAAAACAUUUUUUUUUCAUUUUAAUACACUUUCUUACAAAGGUCAUACGCCAAAUGCAAAAAUAACUUCUCAAAUCGUUUGAUGUUUUCAUUUUACAAUUUACAAAUCAAUAUUUUUUCCACAUAUUUAAGAUUGGACAUUCAUUUGAAA
rnacentral:lncRNA from 1 species